rnacentral:rRNA from 1 species
CCCUUAGAUGUUCUGGGCCGCACGCGCGCUGCACUGACGAAUGCAACGAGCUUAUAACCUUGGCCGAAAGGUCUGGGUAAUCUCCAAAUUUCGUCGUGAUGGGGAUAGAUUAUUGCAAUUAUUAAUCUUCAACGAGGAAUGCCUAGUAAGCGCAAGUCAUCAGCUUGCGUUGAUUACGUCCCUGCCCUUUGUACACACCGCCCGUCGCUCCUACCGAUUGAAUGGUCCGGUGAAGCGUUCGGACCGUGGCCUUUGGACGGUUCGCCGUCUGUUGGCUGCGGGAAGUUCGUUAAACCUUAUCAUUUAGAGGAAGGAGAAGUCGUANCA